rnacentral:rRNA from 1 species
AACGUAGGAGACGAACGUUAUCCGGAGUUACUGGGCGUAAAGGGCGUGUAGGCGGUUUGUUAAGUCUGGCGUGAAAGCUCUCGGCUAAACCGGGAGAGGUCGUUGGAUACUGGCAAACUUGAGGAUGGUAGAGGCGUGUGGAAUUCCGGGUGUAGUGGUGAAAUGCGUAGAGAUCCGGAGGAACACCAGUGGCGAAGGCGACACGCUGGGCCAUACCUGACGCUAAAGCGCGACAGCAUGGGGUGCAAACGGG